rnacentral:tRNA from 1 species
GGAGAGAUGGCAGAGUGGUCUAACGCGUUUGACUUGAAAUCUAAUGAACUGUAAGGUUCCGUGAGUUCGAAUCUCACUCUCUCCU